rnacentral:rRNA from 1 species
UUGACCUCGGAUCAGGUAGGGAUACCCGCUGAACUUAAGCAUAUCAAUAAGCGGAGGAAAAGAAACCAACCGGGAUUGCCUCAGUAACGGCGAGUGAAGCGGCAAGAGCUCAAAUUUGAAAGCUGGCCCCUUCGGGGUCCGCGUUGUAAUUUGCAGAGGAUGCUUUGGGUGCGGCCCCCGUCUAAGUGCCCUGGAACGGGCCGUCAGAGAGGGUGAGAAUCCCGUCUUGGGCGGGGUGUCCGUGCCCGUGUAAAGCUCCUUCGACGAGUCGAGUUGUUUGGGAAUGCAGCUCUAAAUGGGUGGUAAAUUUCAUCUAAAGCUAAAUACUGGCCGGAGACCGAUAGCGCACAAGUAGAGUGAUCGAAAGAUGAAAAGCACUUUGAAAAGAGAGUUAAACAGCACGUGAAAUUGUUGAAAGGGAAGCGCUUGCGACCAGACUCGCCCUCGGGGUUCAGCCGGCACUCGUGCCGGUGUACUUCCCCGGGGGCGGGCCAGCGUCAGCUUGGGCGGCCGGUCAAAGGCCUCCGGAAUGUAGUGCCCCCCGGGGCACCUUAUAGCCGGAGGUGCAAUGCGGCCAGCCUGGGCUGAGGAACGCGCUUCGGCACGGACGCUGGCAUAAUGGUCGCAAACGA